rnacentral:misc_RNA from 1 species
AUUUAUCGCAUCAUCUGUUAGAUGACGUGAAUUAAUUAAUCCUAUUUUGGGGGCAGAAAGCUGCUGGACUUCAUUAGCGAUGAAGGAUACAGCUGAAUAAUGAUACAGCUUUUGUCAAGGAAUAACAAUGUUUUGGCUAAGAAGUCGAAAAGUUAAUUUGCUUGAUUUAAACAAUAUGACAGAAAAAACAUUAGUCAACCGCCUGGAAGGAUUUAUAGAAAAGGCCAAUACAGUGAAAGGUGAAGAAGCUGUCAAACUUAUACAACAGGUUUUAGAUCACCCAGGGAUAUUUGUAUUUGGAGAACUCCUUGAUUCACCCAACAUCCAACAGCUGGAACAUGAUGAACAAACAGCCCCUUAUUUUCGACUCUUUAACCUUUUUGCUUAUGGAACAUAUAAUGAUUACAAAGAACAAAAAGAUAAACUACCAGAGAUAACAAAUUUUCAAUUGCUUAAAUUACGACAUCUUACACUGGUAUCUAUAGCAACUAAACAGAAAUGCAUUCCAUAUACUCUGUUAUCUAAGGAAUUAGACCUUCCUAAUUUAAGAGACUUGGAGGACUUAAUUAUUGAAGCUAUUUAUGCUGGCAUCAUCAAAGGGAAGUUAGAUCAAAAAAAUAAACAACUUGAAGUAGAUUAUGCUAUUGGGCGAGAUAUUCGUUCAGAAGCUAUUCCAGAAAUUAUUUCUGUUUUACAAGAAUGGUGUAACAGUUGUGAUGCUGUGCUGAAGGGAAUUGAAACACAAAUAGUCAAAGCCAAUAAACUUAAGGAGAAGAAAUUAAAGACAAAACUCCAAAUUGAAAAUGAAGUUGCAAAUGUUAAAAAAUCUCUAAAAAGUACUCAACAAGAUCUUGAUGAGCAGAUGGUCACUGAUUCACGGGAAGUUCCUGUAUCAGGGGAGAAGGGAGGGAAAAAGUUAACAAAAAUUAAAGGGUUUCAUUAUAUCUAGCAGAAAGUCCUUUGCAGGCAUAGUGACACAUGUUGUUUAUGGCUUGCUGUCAGAUGGAUACCUGUCAUUUAAAAUAAAGCGGCAUAACUAAGGAACAAAAACAUCACGUCUCCUUUGAUACAUUGAAUUUUUAUUACAUAAUGACUCAUAUUGAAGAAGAAAUAUUUUGUGUUGAAAUUUUUUAUUACCCUGUAAUAAAGCUAUCUUUUUGUUCUAUUGUUGGAAUAAAUUGACAUAUACUUGAA